AGAAAAGAACAGCAGCUUAAUAUCUCAAAUACCUAUUAUUAUGCAAUAGUAGAUAUGCUGAUGCUGCAACAAGGAAAGGCUUUUCUUUUGAUUUUUCACAAUGGAUUUGUCCCACUACACUGGGAAUACCAUUGUUCUCAGGAUGUGCUCAACUAGGAAAGCGUUAGAUCCUAGAACAAUAUCAACAAGAAGAAUUCAUCAGACAAAUCUGACAAGAUCUCCGCAACUCAGAGAUGUUACUGCCAGACACAGAAUUUAAUACCACUGAUUAGAUUUUGAUGAAAUGCUCCGUGUUCUGCUCUGCUGAGGAAUGCCCUUGUGCUCAUGAUCUAGACAUACAAACAUCAUAGCUGGUAGUAGUGGUGAAAUGUGGAAGACGUUUACCUUAAACCUUUGUUCUUUAACCUCCUAAAAGAAGAUCUGUAUUCUUUUCCCAUUUGCAUCAUCUAUCUUCAUAGCAUUGUAUGUUUUGUAAUUUCCUUUUCUACCAGGACUUGCAUCAUGGAUUUAGGAUAUCUUAAUGAGUUUCAUACUAAAACGAACACACCUGUUCAUUGUAAAUGUUCAGUCAUAGAACCACAAAAUAUCCUGAGUUGGAAGGGACCCACAAGGAUUGAGUCCAUCUCCAGACUUCAUGAAUACCAACAUGCCUGGGGCCAUGACCACUUCCAUGAAGAUUUUGCUUCAGUGCCUGACCACCCUGUCAGUGAAGAACUUUUGACCACCAGAGAGGAGAGAUCUGAACCUCCCUCUCUGCUCUCUCUCAUGAGGAAGCUGUAGACAGCAAUGAGGUUACCCCUAAGACUCAUUUUCUCUAAGCUGAACAAACCAAUUGUGCUCAGCUGCUCCUUGUAAGUCAAACCCUCUAGUUCUUUCAUCAUUUUUGUUGCCCUCCUUUGGACAGACCGAAAUAGUACUCAAGGUGAGACUGUACCAGUGCUUAGUACGGUAGGGCAAUGACUUUUUUUCCAUUAGCUGUACUGAGCUUAAUGCACUACAGGAUAUUGUUGGUCCUUCUGGCCACCAGGACAUAUUGUUGACUCAUAUUGAGCUUAACAGGAAAGAGGAAGAAACUGGGUACAUGUAAAGUUGUUGUUUCCACUUUCCUUGAUUCCAGGAUCCUACAGAAAGAUAUAAAACUGACUGAGCUAUUUUAAAAGAUCUUUUACAUUAGAUUUGAAAUAAACUUUCAAAAAUUUUUGUUUAAACA
rnacentral:lncRNA from 1 species